AGCUCCAAUAGGAUAUAUCAAAGUUGUUGCAGUUGAAAAGCUCGUAGUCGUAUUUCUGGUGGGUUGAUGUCUUGGUUUGUGUUUGGGGAAACUCGAAUGCUGCUUUGGACCGCCUGCCAUUUUGUGGGCCAAAGUUAAGUAGGUGUACGAAAGUAUGCUUAUUUAGCUCCACUCCGUCACUGAGAGCAAAUUGGGGUGCUCAAAGCAAGCUUUAUAGCUUUGAACAUUUUAGCUUGGAAUGACAAAGUACGACUACUCGUUCACUUUGUUGGUUAUGAACAAGAAGUAAUGAUAAAUAGGAACAGUUGCGGGGGUACUCGUACUGGAAAGUCAGAGGUGAAAUUCUUGGAUUUUUCCACGACGAACGACUGCGAAAGCAUUUACCAAGGAUGUUUUCA
rnacentral:rRNA from 1 species